rnacentral:rRNA from 1 species
GACGGAGGAUGCAAGUGUUAUCCGGAAUCACUGGGCGUAAAGCGUCUGUAGGUGGUUUAAAAAGUCUACUGUUAAAGCUUGAAGCUUAACUUCAAAAAUGCCGUAGAAACUUUUAAACUUGAGCAUGGUAGGGGUAGAGGGAAUUUCCAGUGGAGCGGUGAAAUGCGUAGAUAUCAGGAGGAACACCGAUGGCGAAGGCAGGUCUCUGGGCAUUAACUGACGCUGAGGAGCGAAAGCAUGGGGAGCGAACAGG